rnacentral:rRNA from 1 species
UACGUAGGUGACCAGCGUUGUCCGGAUUUACUGGGCGUAAAGAGCGCGCAGGCGGUCGUUCAAGUCGAGUGUGAAAGCCCCCGGCUCAACUGGGGAGGGUCACUUGAUACUGAUCGACUCGAAGGCAGGAGAGGGAAGCGGAAUUCCCGGUGUAGUGGUGAAAUGCGUAGAGAUGUGGAGGAACACCAGUGGCGAAGGCGACUCUUUGGCCUGUAACUGACACUGAGGCGCGAAAGCGUGGGGAGCAAACAGG